rnacentral:rRNA from 1 species
UCCUACGGGAGGCAGCAGUGGGGAAUUUUGGACAAUGGGCGAAAGCCUGAUCCAGCAAUGCCGCGUGUGUGAAGAAGGCCUUCGGGUUGUAAAGCACUUUUGUCCGGAAAGAAAUCCUUGGCUCUAAUACAGUCGGGGGAUGACGGUACCGGAAGAAUAAGCACCGGCUAACUACGUGCCAGCAGCCGCGGUAAUACGUAGGGUGCGAGCGUUAAUCGGAAUUACUGGGCGUAAAGCGUGCGCAGGCGGUUUGCUAAGACCGAUGUGAAAUCCCCGGGCUCAACCUGGGAACUGCAUUGGUGACUGGCAGGCUAGAGUAUGGCAGAGGGGGGUAGAAUUCCACGUGUAGCAGUGAAAUGCGUAGAGAUGUGGAGGAAUACCGAUGGCGAAGGCAGCCCCCUGGGCCAAUACUGACGCUCAUGCACGAAA